UACCCGUCCCUCCUUUCUGCUCUAUUCCCCUCUCUAACGCGGGGACAGGAAAUCCUCAAACAGCAGCGUUUCGUUGGCUACAGUCCAGAGAUGAAGGACCUCGUCCUCAUGACCUGCUACAUCAUGUGAGGCUCCAAGGGCUAGUCCCAAGAGCUGGUGCUGGCUGUUCGUCAAAAGGCUUUGAACACUCUUGGGAGAAACCAGCUCUUCCCCCUCCGCAGUGCUGGCUGCGCUUCCCUUCUGGGCAGGUAGUUACUGACAAAGUCCAGUCUCAUCAGACUCCAUCAGCUCUAUGGGACUCUAUCAUAGCACUGGAGCUAGUUCCUGGUUCUCAUUAACCUGCGGACAGAGAUUCACAAGGCACCCGAGAUUGACGUGAUCGGCUGCGGCCUUGACUCAUCGCUGCUUAUCUCCAUUGAAGCAGGGAGACUUGACAGGGGCUGUCGGGUCGAAUCCGCAGCAGUUGGCAGAGGUGUCCCUUCCAGGAGAUCUGACCACCUGUCACCGUGAGGCCUGGUGACUGAUCAGUUUGGAAGCUGGCACCCCAACAGCCUGUCUGGUCCUAACAUCUGCAGCCCCUGAAAUGCCUGCGUGUCUGGCUCUUCCAGUCUCCAGCCAGUGAUGCCACCGACCGACCUACCUACCUACCAGCAGAUACUGUAAAUAUCUCUGGUGAAAAGUCCUGUAUGGGGAAAACCUGAACCUCAAGUAUUAACAGAUUCAGACACCAAGGUUAAGUCUGUGUGCUAACGAACUCCUUAAAAAUACCUUCUCAAACCCGUGACCUCUUGGCAAAUCCCAAAGAAAAGCCUAUUGCUGUGGUGGUGGUGGUGCCAAAUUAUCUGCCGACCCUUAUCCUUUACCAUUGCACAAGUUAGCAGCCCGAUCUGCAGGCCGAAUUCCUGUCUGGCCCCAGUUCCGCAGUGCUGCAUGUGACUAUAUUGCAUGAGGCGAGGGUUUCAGACGAAGAGGCUGGCUUCUUGGUGCUCUCUGCUAUUGUAGCAUUUCUGUGAAAUGAAUUUAAAUAUGGAAGGGUUUGAAAUAGCAAAUAUCUGCAUCUGUUGUCUUUAAUAUUUGACUAUUGUAACAUAUAUUUAAUUUUAAUAAAACCUGAG
rnacentral:lncRNA from 1 species